GAGGGUAUAGCUCAGUGGUAGAGGGCACGCUUAGCAUUCACGAGGUCCUGGGUUCAACCUCCAGUACCUCCA
rfam:Camelus ferus unplaced genomic scaffold scaffold118, whole genome shotgun sequence.